rnacentral:rRNA from 1 species
CAGUCGCCACGGUAAUACGAAGGGGGCUAGCGUUGCUCGGAAUGACUGGGCGUAAAGGGCGCGUAGGCGGCGGCCAAAGUCAGGCGUGAAAUUCCCGGGCUCAACCUGGGGGCUGCGUUUGAUACUUGGUUGCUUGAGUGGGGAAGAGGGUCGUGGAAUUCCCAGUGUAGAGGUGAAAUUCGUAGAUAUUGGGAAGAACACCGGUGGCGAAGGCGGCGACCUGGUCCUUUACUGACGCUGAGGCGCGAAAGCGUGGGGAGCAAACAGGAUUAGAUACCCCGGUAGUCCCUGUCUCUUAUCC